CCCUUGUGUAAUAUAAAUAUCUGUUGCUUUGGCGGGUCGCGAGCUCACCCUCGCCCUGUGUACCCGCCAGAGGACCAAUAAACUCUGAAUGUUAGUGUCGUCUGAGUACUAUAUAAUAGUUAAAACUUUCAACAACGGAUCUCUUGGUUCUGGCAUCGAUGAAGAACGCAGCGAAAUGCGAUAAGUAAUGUGAAUUGCAGAAUUCAGUGAAUCAUCGAAUCUUUGAACGCACAUUGCGCCCCUUGGUAUUCCGGGGGGCAUGCCUGUUCGAGCGUCAUUAUAACCAAUCCAGCUUGCUGGGUCUUGGGCUUCGCCUCCCUGGCGGGCCUUAAAAACAGUGGCGGUGCUCUUCAGCUCUACGCGUAGUAAUUUCUCUCGCGAUUGGGUCUGGAGGGAUGCUUGCCAACAACCCCCAAUUUUUUCAGG
rnacentral:misc_RNA from 1 species